rnacentral:lncRNA from 1 species
UGAAUUGAGGGUUAUUGAGGUUUAAGUGAGUCAAGGUCUCAAAAAGUAGAAUUUUAGGUCCUAUGAGGAUUUUUAAGAUUUCAUGCAAUCUAUUAGUUGGAUUGGAGUGAAAUUUGUAUGAGCGGAUAUAAGACUUAUUUUUCUAUGUGUAUAAGAAUUUUGAAAUCAAUAAAAUAGUGAAAAGAAGACAUAUUGGCUUUGAGAGA